UACGAAGGGGGCGAGCGUUGUUCGGAUUUACUGGGCGUAAAGGGCGCGCAGGCGGCGAGUUUUGUCAGGCGUGAAAGCCCCGGGCUCAACCUGGGAAUUGCGCUUGAAACGGGCUUGCUAGAGAUCGGGAGAGGAGAGUGGAAUUCCCAGUGUAGAAGUGAAAUUCGUAGAUAUUGGGAAGAACACCAGUGGCGAAGGCGGCUCUCUGGACCGAUACUGACGCUGAGGCGCGAAAGCGUGGGGAGCGAACAGG
rnacentral:rRNA from 1 species